UACGUAGGGGGCGAGCGUUGUCCGGAAUCAUUGGGCGUAAAGAGCGCGUAGGCGGCCAGAUAAGUCCGGUGUGAAAGUCACAGGCUCAACCUGUGAAUGCCGCUGGAAACUGUCUGGCUAGAGUCCGGGAGGGGCGAGUGGAAUUCCUGGUGUAGCGGUGAAAUGCGCAGAUAUCAGGAGGAACACCAAUGGCGAAGGCAGCUCGCUGGAACGGUACUGACGCUGAGGCGCGAAAGCGUGGGGAGCAAACAGG
rnacentral:rRNA from 1 species